AUUGAACGCUGGCGGCAUGCUCUACACAUGCAAGUGGAACGGUAACAGGCCGCAAGGUGCUGACGAGUGGCGAACGGGUGAGUAAUGCAUCGGAACGUGACCAGUCGUGGGGGAUAACUACUCGAAAGAGUAGCUAAUACCGCAUACGAUCUAUGGAUGAAAGCGGGGGACCGUAAGGCCUCGCGCGAUUGGAGCGGCCGAUGUCAGAUUAGGUAGUUGGUGGGGUAAAGGCUCACCAAGCCAACGAUCUGUAGCUGGUCUGAGAGGACGACCAGCCACACUGGGACUGAGACACGGCCCAGACUCCUACGGGAGGCAGCAGUGGGGAAUUUUGGACAAUGGGCGCAAGCCUGAUCCAGCAAUGCCGCGUGCAGGAAGAAGGCCUUCGGGUUGUAAACUGCUUUUGUACGGAACGAAACGGCUCUGGUUAAUACCCGGGGCUAAUGACGGUACCGUAAGAAUAAGCACCGGCUAACUACGUG
rnacentral:rRNA from 1 species